ensembl:processed_transcript
CACUUGGUGGUGAGAGUGCCGAAAGAGCGGCAGGCCUCAGCGUAGGCCGCCAUAGAGCCGCACACCUGGGCCUUGCGGUGGUUGUAGCAGCCGUCCAUGUAGCAUGACUGGUAAAAAGGAUGAGGGUCCAGCAGACCGUGGCAGGGCUGGAAGAAACCUUUCAAAUCGCUCUGAGCGAGCUCCAGUGCACUGACAGCAGGUUUUCCACGAGAGGUGAUGUAGUCAUCUGUGGGAUCCCCGUUAAAGUUCCCACACAGUCCACACACCUUGUUCUGUAGCCGUGGACCCAUUGUAAUGCUGAGGGUGUUGAAUCGAUUAUAACGAACCUGGAUGUCCUGAGGAGUGUCGAUCACCAGAAAUCCCUCAGAUGUGGAUACUCUUGUCAUUAGACCUGUGACAAAAGUGUUGCCUGAGAUGAGAAUGUUCUCCUCGUUGAUGUAGAGAUAAGCAUGGGAGAUGGUGGUUAGGUUGGGUGUGCUCCAUUUGUCGAAAUUGGCAAUGAGCUGAAAAGAUAACUCUGGCAGCUUGUGGCAGAUUGUUGAGAGAACAAACGAGCAUGAGGCGGGUAAACGGAGAGAAGCGCCAUCAAAAGUGCGGAAGACGCCACCGCCGGACGCCACGCAGUGCUGAUUCCGUCUGGCAAAGCAUCCUCGCACACCAUGCCGCAGGACACACUCCUCCUCCGCUUUACAUCGCCGUGGGUCGCACUGAAUCAGAUUCCGGCCAAUACACUGGCAGCGUUUAGUGCAGUCACUGUUCCAGAACAACUGCUUAGGCUGAGAAAGACACAAGUAACUCAUAUCAAAUGGUACAAAUUUAAGAUAUUAAACAAAUAAUAAACAAAUAUUGAUACC